UACGAAGGGGGCUAGCGUUGUUCGGAAUUAUUGGGCGUAAAGAGCUCGUAGGCGGUUUGUCGCGUCUGCUGUGAAAACUGGAGGCUCAACCUCCAGCCUGCAGUGGGUACGGGCAGACUAGAGUGCGGUAGGGGAGAUUGGAAUUCCUGGUGUAGCGGUGGAAUGCGCAGAUAUCAGGAGGAACACCGAUGGCGAAGGCAGAUCUCUGGGCCGUAACUGACGCUGAGGAGCGAAAGCGUGGGGAGCGAACAGG
rnacentral:rRNA from 1 species